UGGGGAAUAUUGCACAAUGGGCGCAAGCCUGAUGCAGCCAUGCCGCGUGUAUGAAGAAGGCCUUCGGGUUGUAAAGUACUUUCAGCGAGGAGGAAGGCGUUGUGGUUAAUAACCGCAACGAUUGACGUUACUCGCAGAAGAAGCACCGGCUAACUCCGUGCCAGCAGCCGCGGUAAUACGGAGGGUGCAAGCGUUAAUCGGAAUUACUGGGCGUAAAGCGCAAGCAGGCGGUCUGUCAAGUCGGAUGUGAAAUCCCCGGGCUCAACCUGGGAACUGCAUCCGAAACUGGUAGGCUAGAGUCUUGUAGAGGGGGGUAGAAUUCCAGGUGUAGCGGUGAAAUGCGUAGAGAUCUGGAGGAAUACCGGUGGCGAAGGCGGCCCCCUGGACAAAGACUGACGCUCAGGUGCGAAAGCGUGGGGAGCAAACA
rnacentral:rRNA from 1 species